AACAUUUGUAUUUGGGGUGUGUGUGUUUCAUUUGUUGACUAAGACUUAUGGACAGGUGGAAAAAAAUCCCCUUUUACAACCUGGAAUUCACAGUUCAGUGUGGCAUUUGACACAUAAGAGGGAUUAUU